GUAGUCAUACGCUCGUCUCAAAGAUUAAGCCAUGCAUGUGUAAGUAUAAAUAUUUAACUUUGAAACUGCGAAUGGCUCAUUAUAUCAGUUAUAGUUUAUUUGAUGAAAAGUACUACUUGGAUAACCGUAGUAAUUCUAGAGCUAAUACAUGAUAAAAUCCUCGACUUUGAAGAGGUGUAUUUAUUAGAAUGAAACCAAUAGACUUCGGUCUGUUUGUGAGUAAUAAUAACUAAUCGUAUCGCAUGCUUAGGUAGCGAUAUGUCUUUCAAGUUUCUGCCCUAUCAGCUUUGGAUGGUAGUGUAUUGGACUACCAUGGCAGUAACGGGUAACGAAGAAUUUGGGUUCGAUUUCGGAGAGGGAGCCUGAGAGAUGGCUACCACAUCCAAGGAAGGCAGCAGGCGCGUAAAUUACCCAAUCCUGACAUAGGGAGGUAGUGACAAUAAAUCACAAUGCGGAACUAUUAGUUUUGCAAUUGGAUUGAGAACAAUGUACAAAUGUUAUCGAUAAACAAUUGGAGGGCAAGUCUGGUGCCAGCAGCCG
rnacentral:rRNA from 1 species